GAAAAUGUCAUAAAACUGACCUGUUGGGUCAGAUUUAUUUUCAGUGUACGAAUCUGAUACCGUGCCAGAAGAUACUUAAAGCUGGCCGUGGAAAUUCACUGUUUCAAGGAUGGAAAAAUAAAUCACCAAACCACAAAUUUCCUCGUUGUGACCUGCGGUACGUCCGUUAGGUGGAAUAUUCGCUGUUGGAGGAGAUUGUGAGCUGUAACUGUAGCCGUUCAUGCAGAGGCGCUUUUCCAACUCUGACCCUUUGUAAAUCCAUGAAAUGACAGGCAAUCAGAUGCCAUUGUUGACAAAUGUCAGUCGAUGGUCCACGGCCUUACGGCUGCAGAAGGAUGCUCUCCGGCUUGUUCACCGCGUGACAGCGCGGCUGGACUUAUUCCACCGGCCCGCAAUGCCAAGCUGCAGGACGUGUACAUGCCCGUUCACCGCAGCCAGCUGCAUCUGCGGCCGAAAGGAAAAUGCGACGCCGGACGCCACAGAGGGCCAGUGAGUGGCGGGUCGCGCGAGCCGCCGCGUGAGAGCGUAUGCGCGCGCACGCCUCCAGCUCUGAACGCUGAGGGGAAAAUACAACUUCUUGUUUGUCUUGGAGGCUUCGGCACCAGUGUCG
ensembl:lncRNA